AGUCUGAUUCUAGCUCCCAGGUAGCCUCCCUUGGCGAGUGGUUUUUGCCACACUACCUUUACAAAUGAUAUUUCUUGGUUGCGGAGUAUUCUGCUCUUUCGGUCCGUGAUACCGACUGGUACUUCCUCAUAAGAUAAGUCCUCUUGGAGUGGAAGUAGUUCAUGAGUCAAGACAUGAGAGGGGUCCGGGUUGUACUUACGUAUCAUGGAUACAUGGAACACAUUGUGGACCUUGGAGAGUUCUGGAGGCAGUGCUAGUCUGUAGGCGGCAGUACCAACCCUGUCUAAGACUUCAUACGGUCCAAUAAAUCAGGGGUUCAGUUUUCCCCUCAUGCUGAACCUACUAAUUCCUUUGAAAGAAAUGACCUUAAAGAACACCCGGUCACCUUGUUCAAACGCUAAAUCUCUCCUUCGGGUGUCCGCAUAACUCUUCUGCCUGUUCUGAGUCGUCUGAAUGUUUUUUCUGAUUUUAACUAUUUUAGACAUGGUCUCCUCCACCAACUCCGGGCCGAACAAUUUUCUGUCGCCCACUUCUUCCCAACAAAUCAGUGAUCUGCAUGGGCGCCCAUAUAAUGCCUCAUACGGAGCCA
rnacentral:lncRNA from 1 species